UACGGGGGGGGCAAGCGUUGUUCGGAAUUACUGGGCGUAAAGGGGACGUAGGCGGCCAACUAAGUCCGACGUGAAAUCCCAAGGCUUAACCUUGGAACUGCGUCGGAUACUGGAUGGCUUGAAUUCGGGAGAGGGAUGCAGAAUUCCAGGUGUAGCGGUGAAAUGCGUAGAUAUCUGGAGGAAUACCGGUGGCGAAGGCGGCACUCUGGGCCGGAACUGACGCUGAGGAGCGAAAGCGUGGGGAGCGAACAGG
rnacentral:rRNA from 1 species